CUCGAACACAGCUCUGCAGACUCACUUUUCUCAGACAAAAACCUUUUGAAGAGGACACGCUGUGAUUCGAGGUUCCAGGUUUUCAUCCUCCUCUGCCCGAACCGUUCACCGAGAGGCAAUCAUGUGAAAAGUGGUCAGCUCUCAAAGUGGUGAUAAAAGGCCCUAAAUGAGAAAGCAGAUGGAUGGAGACAGGCAGAAGGAGCGCUGCGGUCUGAUUCACACGCAGCAUCUUCUCUAUAAUUGCCUAUGGAAAUCAAAACAUUCCUCAUGUUCCUGCAGAUGAAGCAAAACCCCAAGGGUGAAACCUGCUGUGCUCGACUCCUGCUCGCUCUACCCCUCCAGGCAGCUGAUGAGCUACAAAGUCUCUCACCUCUCUGUGUCGUCAUUGUCCCAGGAGCCGGCUGACAGUGACUGACAGCUCCUGCACUUUUGCUUCUUGUGUGCCACGUCUUCUCCUGGAUGAGUGUGUGGGUUUAAUAUCUUUUUCAGUGAUGCCUCCUGUUCAAACAUCCAGGUAUGUGCUUGUAGCUGCAGGCGUACCCAGAAAAGUAGGUAUAGGAGGAACAUGUAUUAUUAUUUUUGAUUUAAUCACAAAAACAAAAGACCAAAAAUGAAAACCAGACGUGUUAUUCUGCUGGAUUUAAAGACCUAAAAUCAACAUCUUCAGGACCACAUAUUUUAACAUUUUUGAGCAUCUUCCAGAACUCGUAUCUUAUCAAUCAAUCAAUCAAUCAAUCAAUCAAUCAAUCAAUCAAUCAAUCAAUCAGACUUUAUCUGUAUUGUACUUUUCAUACAUUGAGAUGAAGCACAAACUACUUUAAUUUAAUUGUUAAUAAAAAUGAAUGAAUGAAUGAAUGAAUUAAUAAUAAUAAUAAUAAUAAUAAUUAUAAUAAUAAAUUAGCAAUAAUAAUAAUAAUAAUAAUAAUAAUAAUAAUAAUAAUAAUAAAAUAAAUAGAAAUUAAGAAAUUAAAAAAGGAAUAAAAUUAAUAAAUAUAAUAAUAAUAAUAAUAAUAAUAAUAAUAAUAAUUAAAAAAUUGAGCUAUAAAAUAAAUAAUAAUACUGAUAAUAAUAUUAUAUAAUAGUAUUAUAAUAUUAAUAAUAUAUAUAAUGUAAUAUUAAUAAAUAAUAAAGUUAAACAAAUGAAAUAAUAAUUAUAUAUAAAAAUAUUAAUAAAAAAUAAAAAUAAAUGAAUUAAUCAAUAAAUCAAACAAAAUAUGAUUCACAUAAUAAUAAUUUAGAAAACUUAGAAUAAAAAAAUAUGAAAAAUUUACACAUAUAUUACAAAAAAUAAAAAUAAAAAAUAUGUCACUCAGAACCUUAUCUAAUUCUGGACCACAUAUGAAUGUGCCCUAAAUCAGACUUAAUGGGCAGAAAAAAUCUCAUAUUUGGCCACACUUGCCUUCAACCCGAAGAUAAUUAACCCCAAGAAUCCACCUCCAUCUCUAUCUCUUCCUCUCCCAUGAUGCACCUCUGCUCUGGCGUAGGGGGACACCCUCAGCAGAGCCUGGGCUCCAUCACAUACCUGAAGGAUAAAAGUUAAUGACCUUAGCAUCUCAUUUUCUGGGGGGGCCCCGUCUUUGGCUUGUCUCCUCUCAAAAGCACCUUGCAGCUCAAUGGGACAGAACAGACGAGAGGAGUCACUCUGCCGUGGAACGUAUAAUGACAUCUUCCCUUAUAACCCAGAAUGGUUAUUGGCUAUAAAACUGCAAGAGCUCAUCUCAGAGAUCCAUGGUCAAAAAGGAGAUGAUGUGUGUGGUCAGGAGUGAGACAGCUGUCUCCGUCCUUUAGUCUGUCUCUCUCCAUCCUUGUCUUAAAGGCGUUCGAGGAUGAGCCGAGCGCUCCACUCCAACUGCUGCGACUACAUUUGAAACCUUUCACAUCUGCCCCCGCUCUGUUUAUGACUCACUUGUACUCACACCACAGUAUGAAUGCUAAUGUUAACAGCUAGCGUGAUCCUGCCACAGAGCAUUAUGGCGAAGUAUCGAGGGGUUGUAAAUCAGAGCCGCAGAGGCACUCGAAGGAGGCUGAAAUUAAAAAAGCGUUUCCUCCCAUCAGCAUGAGAAGUGAAAGUGUACACCAGGAAACAGAGAAACAGGCGUUCACCGUGUCAGCUCUAAGCUCACACAUCCAGAGCUGUUAGCUGCAGCUACUUUAACCCUGACUGUUCGGUUGGGUGCGGGCCAACGCUUUUAGUCAUCGGCCCGAAUUUUCACCUCACUCCCUCUCUUUCUGUUGUGAGAUAUAGCCUUGGCGGAGCUCCCGAGCUUAAAUGGCUGAUUUGCAGUGGGUUAACUGGAGAAUGGGAGGGUGAAGUCAUAUAUAUUGUGUGUGGGGAGGCUUAGCUGAGUGGUAGAUCAAUUUGGGAGAAUAAAGAAGGAGCCAGAUGGGCCGCUGGAACCCGGUCCAAAGGAGAUGAGGUAAAAAAGCAGUAGAUGAAGAGCCCAGGUAUUUAUCACCCCUGAAGCCUGAAUAUAAAAUGUGUUUGAAUGUAUAUUGGCUGAUUUUAUGAAAAUACCACGACGGAGAAAAACCCCACAGGCUGAUGAAAAUGUUGGACUGUCACCUCCGAGUACAGUCGAUCAAUCACUCGGGUUUUAUUUGCGUAACACUGUUCCUACCAAUUAACGUAACACAAAGUGCUCUCACUGAAUAACCCCGCUGUGUGGACGGAUAAUGAAAUGAAGUGAUAUAUGUGACACUGAUGAAUAAUGGCAGCAUUAAACAAAACAGGAACAGCACAAACUCUGCUGUAAAUGCACCUGCAUCAAACUACACCGAGUCGAGCUGACUAAGGACAUAAUUAAGUGACGCUAAAUCAAGAAUCUGACGCCAACACAAAUUAACAGGAGGGCGGAGAAACCUUAUCGGACUUUGAGCCGGACCAAGAACAAAUUUAGCUUUUAAUAUCAACCACAAAAACACAAAGUAUUUCAAUGGGAGUUUACUCAGUGUAGCACGUGAAAACUGCAGUACCUCAAACGUCCACUUGGGGCUUUCUGCAGAAGAUGUUAAAUCCUCAUUAAGGCCCAUAUUAAAAUGCUUCUUUAUUCAGCAGAAUGAAGCGUGUUUGCAGCUUGGAUCAAGAUAAUUUUUUCUCUCUAUAUCACAAAAUAGUAUGCCACGUUUUUUUUGAAAUGCAGGAUUUUAACUAUACGAAGGUAGGAUGACCAUACAUCCUCUUUUAACCGGACAUGUCCUCUUUUUUUGAGGGCUGUCUGGCCUUGUCUGGCUUUGUUUGGGGCAGUUUAUAAAAUCCUUUAAAUGUCCAGGGUUUUGUAUGGAAGUUUUGAGUUUGUGCACGUGGACUUACUGUGUUAGAAGCAUGUAAAAGAAACCUUGAUCUGACCCGAAAAAAUCUCAAAAUUAACAACUCAUCUGCAGUUCCUUAAGUGUCCACUAGAGGCUGGCUGACUAAAACUAGUUUAGGUCCAAUCAGUUCAUUACUAGUUCAUCAUUCUCUGUUUUGGGGUGAAUUUUACCAAUUAAGGGGAUAUUAUGGCGUAAGACGCAGUUAAAGGAAAUACAAUUCUUCAUGGAAAUACAAUCAGACCGAGACGCUAAGGCAGAAGAACUACCGCGUCUGCAGAGAAAAAUGAUUAAUAUGAAAUGAUAAAGAAAUAAUCAUAAAUGUUCUUCCUUGAGCUGCGGCACCCCGCUGUAGUUUGUAAUGGACUGGCCUGAAGUCUCACUACAAACAAGCGGCUGCUGGAAGAGAGUAGGUGAGUUGUGUUUAGUCUCUUUGCUAAAGGAAUGAGUCAAAGUUAAAAAGAUGUUUGGUGUCUAGUACUAUGUCUGUGACCCUAUAUGUCCUGUUGAUGAAGUUAGGUGCUGUUCUGAGCAUUAUUUGUGGCUAUAGAGUGGCGUUUUGGUUGAGGGCGUGGCUCUCUGUAUUGCUAUCCUGCGGUCGUUACAAAAGUUGGUAUAACUUUACGCUGGAAUAUCCCUUUAAUAAGUUUUGAAGAUUUUUAAGCUUUGCAUAAUUUCACCAUUUUGCUAGCAUGACUAAAAUUUAGGUUGAGUCAGUGUUUCUAGUUUGGCGACCAACAUUGAUGCUACUGUGAAGACCAAUGGGUGACAUUACUGAGGCUUCAUCCAUGUUUAAUACUGUCUGCAAUAAAUGAAGCUUUAAAAUAGUUUUGGUAGGUAACAUCAUCAUUUCUGGAAAUCCUUUCUCCUUAUUUUCUAGUCUUUUCAUCCCCGACUGAGCUGAAAUCUCAAAUUAACCAACACAAGACUGUUUCUAAAAAACAUCUGAAGGUUCGACACUCGUGUUUCUCCAUCUCUAACAAAGUGCUUGAGUAUCUUUCUUGUCGUAGAGCAGGACUUCACUGGAGUGUUGGGAUUUCCUUAUUACUUCCCUUUCAAAUUAAUUUCGUCUCGCACAGAUACGCACAACAGCGAGACAAUAAAAGGGACUAAAAGCCGUUCAUAAGCUGUACAAAUCACAAAUAUUACACCGCACUCAGACGCAUAAAAAAGCCACUAAACACAAAUACAAUUACCGCAAAGUACAUUUUACAAACGCGGCUGAAGGUGAGAGUUAAAAUCCUGGAAAUGUAGUUUAGAAUGAUCCUCAGCGGGGAAUUACAGUAGUCUAAUGGUCUGGUUAGGAAGGUAAGGAUAACAGUUUCCAGAUGUUUGGAGGGAGGAAUGAUCUCAUGCCUUAAAUGUUUCUAAGAUGAUAAUAGCAGGAUGGAAGCGCUGAGUUAUCAUGUCUGUCUAAACCCAGGUUUCGCACGAAUCACUCCAAGAUUUCUGCAGAAAGAAAGACUCAUGCUUUAAAUUUCUAAAAUCCUUUUGCAUGAAAUAAAGGGAAAAAAAAGAUUAUUUUUAUAGGCCAAGCAAAGUAAUCCUCUGUCUCAGAGCUGCAGCAGCAAUAUGUCCUCUUGUUCCAGAGCUAAAAAUCGAUGCACGUCUCUUAACAUGCCUCAAAUCUCCACUUGUUGUGGUAGUAAAUAAGCAACGCACGCAGACGUCUUAUCUGUUUGAUACAAACUCGAUGUAAGAUGUAAGAUGUAGGGGAAACUGCCCAGACCCAUUACACUAAUCACACAUCAGCUUCGGCUGAGAAGGUGAAAUCUCAGGACCUUUAGUUCUGUUCAAUUAAACCGCAGCGGCUCGUAAAACGAAGCAAUCAAACCGAGGAUCGAUGGCGGCUCAGACCUCGUCUCGCCACGCCCAGGCUCACCGCAAUCUGGCCUGUAAAUCAGAGUGUGCGUGUGUGUGUGUGUGUGUGUGUGUGUGUGUGUGUGUGUGUGUGUGUGUGUGUGUGUGUGUGUGUGUGUGUGUUUGGGAGAGGGCGAGGGAAUGAAGCACAGGCCAGAGGCACGAGCCCAGAGUGUCGUCUCUUUCAUUUUCAGACAGGGAGGGAGAGUCAGGCUGAUGGAGAGCUGCAGCUCCAGGGAUGAAGGACAGGCCGACCCUCAGCUUCACGCACACACACACACUCACACACACACACACUCAUUUCCACAUUAACAUUAACCCCGGCACCAUUACCACUGUGAAGUGCUAUUAAGAGGCAGACGCGAGGCCGAGGGGAGCAGAUAUUACCAAACUGUCUCCUCCUCUCAGUCUGCAGCUCAUCUCGCGACUCUCUGACAGACGGGAAGGGAAACCCGCCAUGAUGGACUGAGCGGGGUCGACUUAACGGGCCUGAUUUUAUAGUUUGAUUAUUUAAAGGCAUUUAUAUCACCUUAUUAUACACAGUUUAAUUUAGAUUUGCUUCAGGGAAACAUUUCCACUGAUCCCAAAGGUGUGACAGGAUAAAACACGAAGCAGAAGAAGAAAUAAACGAGGAGAGAAAUGUUCACUUUAAAUAUUAUGUUUGAUGUUUUUUGCAUUUUGUGGAAAAAGUAAAAUGUCAAGAAUAAAAAAACAAAGUUUUGAAGACAAAUCAGAAAAGGAGGUAUUUGACAUUUUCACUUUCUUUUUAACAUUUAAUUCAUUUUUCUUAAACUCAAAGAAAACUCAGGAUGAAUUAAACUUUGCCUGAGAAUAAACUUUUAGAUUUUUAUUUUGACAAAACCCUUACACUGGAUUUCCACUUAUGUAUGACAUCUGUAGAUCCAUAUAAAUAUGUGAUACCUCUAGUGUCCAACGCAAGGAACUGCAUCUCUUUACAGAUGGAUAGAAACUGUGAAUCGACCUGAGAGUAUAAUCUUAAAUCUGGAUUAUUUCACAUCAAAUUGACGAAGAUAAUUUGUGUGUUUAAAACAAAUAAUCAUAUUCUAGCAGAAUAUUGUUACUCUGAUUCACACGCUCUUUUUUUAAUCUUAUGAUCUCACAAAAAAAGCAGCUGCAGGUUUAACGGAGAGUUUUCUUUGCCUUCACUGGGAGAUUAUAUUUGUACCAUUGUUAUUCACCAGGAUUUACACAAAUCCUUCAUUGUUUUGAUUACGCCGGCCCACUCGAAGGUCUAAUAAUACCAAUCUGAAAAUAAGAGCCCAUGAAACAUCCAACAUGUGUAAAUGUUUAGCAGAAUGUAAAUAACCGCUCUAAAAUAAAGGAUAUGACCCGAGCGACUGAGGAGAUUUAGGAAACAUGUUCGGGGAGAGGUUUAGGGGGAGGAAAUGACGAGGACAGGGUCUGUCUGAAGGACGGAGGACUUAGACAUAAUACAGCAAACACCUGAAACCACCUCAGAUUGAAACGCAGAUUUAUGGCGGUGCAGUUUUUGGACUGAUGUCGAAGUUUGACUCUUAAAAACCUGAUAUAAUUACAGUGUUUGGGCUGAGUCAAAUAUUUCGACGUAUAUUUGGAGCAGGUCUGAUCGAUUUUAGCUGCUGUGAGUUAACAAGUUUGUGGCGUUAAAGGGCUCUUAAAAACAGGCGCAGGAGUAAUGACUUUCCCAUCCCCUGGUGUCCGUUACCUGUCACAUUCGGUGUUUUUAUUGUCCAGACGCGUGUCUCAUUUCUUGUUAUUUCUAGGGUUAAAAAAGCAGGAGAGGGAAGAUUCUCAGGAAGAGGAGACGUCAAAAACACUUACCUUCACUGGAGUUAAUAUUUGUGUCUCGCUUUUAGGCGUCGCCGCCCAGCGGGAUGGCGGGGGGGCCCUGCCUGAACUACUUUUUUAUUUAGUUUGAAAACACGUUCAUCAAUCAACCAAGUCUGAACGCGGGGACGAGCCAUUCAGAGACAGCAGGCCUGAGAGUAACCAACACAAACAAACAGAGGCGUACAGAGACGAGUGUGUUUCUCCUGAUCGCACAUAUGAAGGCGGCGGGAAUUCAACAUCACAUUCCCUCGUGUUUUCCUCUUUCAUUAAAUAAAUGAAGCGCACAUGAGCGUCUGAGUCACUUUCCCCGCUCUGUAUACUUUCCCAUCAAUAAACGGGCGUUGUAAUUCACCUGUUUGUUUUUACGUGUUGUAGCUGCUCCAGUCUCGGUGACGGCACACACGGCUGUUUGCUCUGCUUUAAUUCUGAGCUGCUGUCAACAUCAAAGCUGUAAUUAUGCAAUAAACUCUGAGAGUCUCUGCGUCUUCAGCCCGCCGCCGCCGCUGCUGUCAGGUGUGGGACGGUUUGCCUAAAGGUUUGUUGUGUUUGCCGUCUUUGAUUUGGCUGCCGCUGUCCUCCAUGAUCCAGUCAGAAAUGAAGGCGGAUACGCUGACUGUGUGGUAUUUAAGAGGGAUUGCUGGGAGUUGUCGGAGAGCCCGCUCUGGCAGGUUGCUGUUGUAAUUGUCAUGUAAACAUAUUUGCUUUGGUGUUGUAGUCUGUGACGAUAAACAGAGGAGCAUGCACAGAGAGUCUAAUGAAGUUGGUCUGUGUUUGGGGAGUGAAGCACGCUUUUGUUUGGUGAAACUCGGAAACUCCAGGAUCUAAAAUAAAGCAGACGAUGACGUGAUGGAUCUCAACUUAGACUGUGUUUGUUCUACAGAGGCCCUGAGAGGACAAAAAAGUGGCCUCAAAUUGUCUGCAUUUAGGACUUAAGAACAGGCGUUUAUUAUCUUUUCUGGUGUAAUCUUCGUCUCUGAACUUGUUUGUUAUUUUGAGAAAGGUUUUCUCUUCGUGAUAAUCGUGGCCAAAAUAUAUCACAGUAGCAGUAUAAUUUGAGUAUUUCUGGAAAUGUUUUAAAUAAGAGAAAACUGUCAAAUUCUAAUCUGAACUAAUGAACAAAAUUCAUUUAAUUGUUAUCAUGCAUUUCUUAAAAUAUUCAAAUUUGUGUUUUAGCAUCAACCCUGUGACUAACUUUGGAGAAGAUAUUAGCUGUGUCCGAAAUGAAUCACUCAGUCCCUAACCCUCAUAUGGGGUUUCACUAUAUAGCUGACUAUGUAUUGAGCUCAAUCACUGGAGGUUUCGGACACUACAUGCCGCACCGUUGUGACGUCACUGCUCAGACUGAAGUUUUGGCCGUUGUUUUUUUGCAUUUUGCAACGCUCUAUGAGAAAUUUUGAGUCGCCUAUAUGGGGCAUUGGAAUUGAUCACUCAGGUUUCAGACACCCCUCAAAAUGGCACUAACCCCUAUAUAGUCGCCUAUAUAGGGUAUAGGGAUCCAUUUUGGACACAAAAUUGAAAAUUUACCUUACUUUAAUGUAGCCAUCAUUGUCAAACUAUGCUUUUAUUUUGAAGUACUGACUUCAAAAUAAAGUAUACAGCUUCUUAAACAUUAGUUUUGAAAGCCUCUAGCUCACUCGCAGUCUGCUACUUCUUCUUCGUCUAUCCUCCAUUUCUAUAGCACUCAUUCAGUUUUGUACUUUUAUUCCAUGAAGUUUAUUGUCUAUUACAAAAAGUUUUUUAAACCUUGAUUGAAGCCAAAAUGAAGCUGAAACCUCCAAAUGUGGAAAUUAGGAAACUUGCAGUUCUUUGAGGAGCCUCUAGGGGGUCACUCCAAAAGUGAGUCGAUCCCCAAAAUGUUGCAAAUUGAAAUUCCCACCUUUACAGCUGGCGUUAACUGGCUGUUGGCCAGUGUUAGGGUUACCCAGCAUGUUUGUUUGGACGUUGGUUUCACAUAGAUUAACUGUUCAUGUUGAUGAAAGUCAAGGUUGUUGUCGGACUUUCUUCACCUGAUGAUUGGUUGAUGAAGGCCUUGGUGUGUCAUUUACAGCCUCUAUCUGUUUCUGUAGCUUUAAUUCAUUUAUAACUUUAUCUCAUUUACCGUUUUAAUCGUCAUAUCUCAGCCUUAAACUUCUAUCUCCUUCUUUUUACGCUCUUUUACGUCUUUGGUCUUUUUGAGUCUGAGCUCAUGUUGCUCUGUUUUCAUGUUGCUCCGGUUCUUCAUGACGUUGUCACGUUGAUAUGUUGCUGAGGUUUUCACUCCUGUUUUGGUUUCUUCAGCCGUGGGGUUCUUGUGGUGUUUUCUGGUCGGGGUUUCAGCGUUGGUUUCUUAUGUCAUUCUGCCCUCACAGCUCCACUUAAGUCUGCUACUGUCUUCAAACUUGGCAGGAAACCUACGAGCCCCUCUUUCACUUCCAUACAUGAGAGUUUUUCCCCUCUUUUUCCAUCUGAAAUGCACUUUUUCACUUCCAACGUUCCACAGCUUUUACGACACUCUUCCUGCUAUUUUGAUGUGGACUGUGAGACCGUGUUUACUCAGGGCGGCGGCGGGGGAGAAAGGAGCGGAUGUGUGCGACAGCGAGGUGGAGGGAGGAACUUGUGACCUGUCAAUCACGAGAAAAGCGCCUCAGAUAAUCUUGUGACUCAGCUGUGGAUGCAUUUGCAGCAGGAAGUGUGAGUGAGUGUCUGGGGACGGAGACCCCAUUAGGCUGAGCGGCUGCUACUUUGCAGAGGCUAAUGGUGAAACUAAUACAAUUAAGCGUAAAGUGUGUGUGUGUGGGAGAGGACGGGUGUUAUUACAGAGAGGGCGACACGGGAAACAAGAGGAAGGUUGGCACAAUGGAGCAGGGUCGCGGUGGUGAUUGUCAUUUCUGGCCACCACAUCACGCCUUCGUAUUCACAAUAGACUGCAUCCGCUCCGCUGGCAGCUGCUCCGCAUAAACCAGGAAACUAACAAGAAUGUCUCCAAACGCAGGCCAGACAAAAAAAAGCCGACCGAAAUACUCCGAAUGAAAAUCUAACUCUACAAGUACCUCACAGGAGCAGUAGUAGAAGUGGCAACUGCGGCUGCACCGUCCAAAUUUUCCAUUUAUAUUCAGCAGCAGACAGACGGCUGUGAGAAAAUGUGUGAGUGGAGGAGCAGAAGUAAUGUAGCGCUACCAGUGGAGCUUAAGUCUGCUGGAAGACUCGGCCCAUAUGAGCACAUUUCAUUUUCCAUGCAUAAGAUAUUGCAGAGCUGUGUUUGUAUAGUGCGGGCCGUAGCACUUCCCUUCCUCACUCCAUUACUCGUGGUCGUCCUCAGAAUCAGAAAUGAUCACUGGACUGCAGGUUUAGUCCCCAGAUCCAGGGUUUAUGCAUGUAUAGACUCACAGCUGCAGGAACAUCUGAGCGAGUGAAACUGGGUUACAUGUCGGGGAAGGAUUUCAAGAACUUUCUCCAACUACUUUUCCAUGUAUUAUCUCUAAUUUUUAAUGAAUCUCACCAGAAUAUUUAAGACUAGUUCCUGUAACAGCAGAUUUUCUCCUCUGAUGCUCGGAAAUUCUAGAUACAAGAGAUCAGAGCAACCUGAGGCGCCCCAAACAACAUAAGACCACCACCCGGACGGUGCUCGUCCCUUUGAUGGAGACAUGAAUACAUGCAACAUUGUGGUGAAUUCAUGUCUCCAUCGCUCAGGAGUUAGUGGAUGAACCUGAAGAAAGAAACUGAGGCUGGGGUCAUAAAAAAGUGUGAAGUAGAAAGAAAACUUGGUGAAAAAGUUGUAAAUUUGAAAUGAGAUCUUUGCAGGAGAAGCUGAGAGUCAAAGAGCUUGGAUGGAUUAUGCUUAUUUUGGAUCUUGUCAAGAUCUAGCUGUGGAAAAUUGCAUCACAAAAGAGUACCGAAUGCUGUUUACGACGGUGCGAAUUAUCACAAACCAAGGUUGGCAUGUUGUGACCAAUCGUAGCUCACUCACAGCUAGGGUUGGGUAUCGUUUGAUUUUGAACGAUUCCGAUUCCGAUUUCGAUUCCUCAUUUCGAUUUCGAUUCCUAUCAAUUCUUUAUUUCGAUUCUUUUAAAAGGCAGGAUAUCAUAAAAAAAAAAAGCAUGGUUUGAAUGAGGGCGCUAACCGGAGCUCUUCUUUUUGGAUGUAAUUUCUGAACUUCUCCAUGAAUUUUUAAAUCAUAUUAACUUUUUAGGAACUUUACUAUGAAUUUCUCACAUUUUCAACCGGUAUAUAAAUAUCAUUUUUUGUUGUCAGGUCGUUUGUCUAUGAAAAAGCACAAGGGCUAACGUUAGUUGGAUAUUUAAGUUUACUCACCGUACUCAGUGCAAUUUGUUUACCGUUUCAAAGUUAGCAGAGGAUAGAAGUAAUUUAUUGUUUCACUUAUCUGAUCCUGACUGGUUAGCGGAAGACAGGCGUUGUGCUGUAGAAUGCAUCCCUGCCGUAGAAUGCCUCCCCUCCACUGAUUAGCUUCUUAGUGGAAGAAAUAUGAUCUCAUAUUUAAAAAAACACGAGUAUUAGAUCAUGACAACAUGUCAAAUGGAGCAGUAAACUUUCGUUUCGUUUUUCUGUGUCUCAGAAACGCACACAUAGAGGUGUACUUGGGUAUAUAAACUGUAGAGUAAGCAGUUAAUGUAGAGAACAUUAUAUUUUCCGGACAGUAAAUAUUCAGAAUCAGAGGGCUGUUGUUUUCGGCAUAUCUGAAUAGCCUGAAUGAAAUCAUUAAAGGCACACGCUUUAGAUUCCGUUCAACGGUAAGGAAAACUUGUUUCGCCUUGUUGUGUACUUUUCAACCGCGCUCCCGUCAGGGGUGCAUUCAACAGCAGGGGUGCAUUCUAUGGCAUAACACCGGCGAAGCGCGUCAAAGACGAGCACUCGGGUAUUUCUCCUCCAUGAAUCCUGAGGUGUUUAAUCAUGUUUGUCGUUUACCCUCCUUUGCAUGAUAUAACUGUAUUGCUAAUGUUGCAUUGAGAUAAGAGUUCAUUCUUCCUGCUAAAGUUAGCCAAACUUUUGACCAACGAAGAAGAAGCUGCCGAACACCAACGAGGACGGAGCGUAUGAGACGAAGUCACACAGAGAGAGGAGAGAGACAGAGAGAGAUUACAUUGUAACCCACAGCGGCUGCAUUGCUGUGGGUUGCAAUAUACUUUCUCUCUCUGUCUCUCUUCACUUUCUGUGUGGCUUCGUCUCAUACGCUCCGUCCUCGUUGGUGUUAAGCGGCUUCUUCUUCGUUGAUUUUCGGCGGCUAUUUCUUCUGGUCGGCGGACUCCGGCAUCGAAACUUGGAAUCGAAAUUUUUAUAUUUGAACGAUACCAGAAGAAUCGAAGUUUUAGUCUCGAUUCCCAUCGAUUCUCGAUUCUCGAUACCCAACCCUCACUCACAACGAACAACGUGUACGAAACAGAGAAGACGACCAAGCUCAGAAACCAUUUGGAGGUAAAAACUUAAAGAAUCUUAAAUAUGUUAUAGUUUGAUAUCUUUUUGUUAAAUAAAAAUAUGAACAUUAAAGAUAGAGACCCUAAAUAAAUUUCUUCACUGAACCAGAACAGCUCCGAGAUGAUAAAGAAAACAUUCAUUAUUAGACGUGUUUUUGUUUUUUAACAUCCUGUAUCAGUUCACAUGAUUCCUGUUUGUUUCCGAUGACUGUGAUCACAUGACGUCAGUGAAAAACAUCACAAGGUUGUCCUUUCCCAGACUUCACCAUCAUAUGUCAUAAUGUGUGUGUGUGUGUGUGUGUGUGUGUGUGUGUGUGCGUGCGUGCGUGUGUGUGUGUCAGCAGGUCAGAUCUGUGGGAACGAUGUGUUUUAACAGGAACUACGUUGGUUCAAUUCCACUUUCGUUUUGACCGUGGUUCGGCAUCCGUCUGGAGUUCCGUUGAAUUUAUUGAACUAUGAUGUGGAUUUGUGGUUAAAAAAUCACCCUGACACACAGAAAUGAGGAAGUGUGGCGUAACCAUGUGAUAAACCGUUAAACCCCGAUGAAUUGUGGUUAUUCCUGACAGUCACAGCUUUUCUUAAUUAUCACAUGAUGAACCUGAAAUCCUUUAUUUCUCAGCUUUGUGUCCGUGUUGAACAGAAACUACUGAAGGAUAUUUUAUCCCCAAAUCUGCUUCUUCUUCUCUUUUUUCCCUGUUAUCUCCGGCUGAAACAAACAUGGAGGAGCGGUGCUAUUUUUAAAGACCGCCUCCACCCUGAGCGUCUAACUCUCUAAUUAAAAGAGACAGCAUAAGUUCCUGGCUGUUGGCACAUUGAUGUUAAAAUCUUGUGCUUUUCACACUCCAAGAAUCAUUGCCAGAAAUCUUUUCUUUCAACGGGACGAGGAGAGCUUUCACAUACAUGCACAGCCAGGUGAUAAUGAAACACCUUUACAUGACUGAUGAGGAGUUUAUUUAUAGGUGAGUUUACCUGAUCCAGACUGCAGGUACUGAGAAGACUCCGUUUUUUUCUGUGUGAACGGUGUCUGCUUAGUACCUUCUGGUUUAAUCACGUCUUAAUAAAACUGCAUCAUCAGGUAUGUGAUUCACUUUGGCAGCUAUGACUCUAUGUGUAUUAUAUCUUUAAGACAUACUGAGGUCUGAUUUUUGAAGACAUGAUCAUUAUAUCUCCUGAUAAUGUUGAUUAUUGUCAGAAAAUAGAUCUACUAUUAUUGAAGUAUGUCCUUGAGCUCUCCUGGUCGAGUAUGUUGGGUUUUGUUUUUCUUUUUGAGAUUAUAUCUUACAUCAAAUAGUCCAGAGUGGAAGGCACAGUCUGCAAAACACCAGAGAUAUUAGAGCCAUAAAAAAAGCUAAUCCUCACUGAGUGAUGACCGCAAAGUGAUUGGUCAAGGCCUUCAUCAUGUGAUGUCUCUAAGUCUGGUUGAGCAAGAACAAACCAGGUGACACAUUGCUCUUGCAGGACCAUGUUUGACUCAUACUAACCAAAAACAGGAGGUUGGAAGCGGGAAACAACCAACUUCUGCGUCCAUCAAAGAAGAGUUUCUGUUUCUUUGUUCAUGGAGCAGCUUUGACUAAAGGAGCCAAAGUCGGGGAUUUACAGCCUCUGUUUAAAGAUGGCGUCUCCAGAGGCUCUUUGUCAAACUGGAUAUACCACCUUUUUUGCAGUGUGAGAACCUUCAUAGACUAAAGUUAUUGUGUUUAUUUUCAUAAGAAGUCUAUCAAUAAAAAAAGUCUGUUACUGCCAAAAACAUAACUUUUAGAGGAAGUUUGGUUUGAGAAAACUCUGCAGCAGAAUCCAAAGUUUUAAAGUUACCAUCAAACACAGAGAGAGUGAAGCUAAUUCUUAAAGAGUGAAUAUUUAUUCAUUUUUUUACAUAAUUUAUCCACAGAGUUAUUGGUAGAAAUAAAUCAAAGCGGUUUUAGAUGAAUAAAAUAAGGUUAAAAAAAUAAUAAUAAUAAUUAAAAAAAUACAGUAGUUAAAAAAAGGAACUCAAACCAGUAAAAUGUGAAAUAAUAAUAACCAGUUAAUUUAUAUAUGUUUUUUUUCUUUCUUUCUUUUAACAACAUAUUUGCUUUAUUUUAGAGCUGAAGGUCGAGGUACUACCUGGACAAGUUUUUCCUGUUAAUACACGUUUAUUGAUACACAUAGAUAACAAAUGAUAAUAAUAAAUAAUAAUCCCAUUAUUCAAAUACAUUUAUUUUUUCAAAUUUAAUGGAAGAAGUAUUACUCUGCAGACAUUAACGUAUGUCUUGUUGCAAUUCAAGUAGUAUUAUGGAUAAGUUAGUGGUUUUUUUUUUUUAACUUUUUAAUCAUUUUGAUGCAGAAAUUAUCAAAACUUGUUGCUAAAAACUUAAUUGAGUUUAUUUUGUGCUCAUAUGGUUUUAUGUUUUUAUGCUAAUAAUACACCGACACAGUAGACGGACACACACGGCUUCAUUUAACCAAAUUAGCUGCAGAGAUAAUCUCCAGUGGCUAAAUAAAGUCCAUAUCUGCCAUCGUAUUUACAUUCCUGAUAAUACCUCUAUGCAGAUUUUGUUGCUUUUUAUCCGUAAAUGAUUCGAUUUCCAAACAAACGCGGUUCAUUAGAGCAGACAGGAGGUCACGGCGUGUCGAUGCUGUUCUUGUUCACCUUUCCUCUCGGAGUGCAUCAUGUGUUGUUGUUGUUUUCAAGGAGAUGUGAAAUGAGUAAAGUUUUUAAAAAGCUUGCACUUCCUCCUGUUUUGCAUAUAAAUCUGGUGAACCCAGUGUGCAUGCAUAUUACAUUUCCUUUCAGGCAGAUUGGCUGAAUUUUAAAUCAGAGUGACUGCUGAAUUAAACGCUUUCUCUUCGGGUCUCACGGAUUGGAAAAUAAUGUUUGUGUCUCUUGAUUUGAAGAGCUCCGACGUUUCUCCCCCCUCAUAAAACUGCUGACACAGACCUCCAGAGCCCCUGAUUUCUAUUCUGGGAAUACCCGUCUGAUUAGUAGGUCAGCCAGACGGCCCCUGAACCGGCCGGCAGCUUCUCGGGGACGAGCCCUGCGUGGUCUUGGAAAUGACUCAGUAAAUGCUGCUGUGGGCUUUGAUGCCUUAACUGGCGGAUGUGUCAGAGCAAAUUAAAGGUGAGAUGUAACAGCUAGGUCCCGACUUGUCAAGUAAACUGCCUUUGAAUAUGAUUUGCAUGAUAUUACCGCAGACCUUGACCGUAGAGAGGAGGAGGAGAGUCGUGCAAAGCAAACGCUCAGGUGCCAGAUCGACCUUCGUUAGCAUGUGGGACGCCGAGACGUUGACAGUGAUGGGAAAACAAAAGACAGGAGUUUGGCCGAACGGUCUUAGUCUAGAAAUAUUAACAUGUUCUGAGAAAUGUGCUGUUCUUUACCCUCAUUUACCCGUGAAAUGUGGCCGUGAGUGAGCGCUAAACGGACAAGAGUUCAAGCCUUGCUCCAUUUGCUUUUAUAUUACAGCUCUCGGUCUGGUGUUCUGAGCACAGCUGCUUUAGACCAGCCAGGAAAUUGCACCUGAAAUUGGCCUUGUGGUCUUGAGUGUCUUAUAAGCCGCCUCACAGGUAUGAAAGAAAAUGAGAGAAGCGAAGAAACAGCCUCUCCAGCUCUCCAUUUCAACCACAGACACGUCUCUCAGCCAUGCACAAGAAUCUCUUGCCCGCCUGCAGCCGAUGGUUACCAGAGAAGGUCAGCGAGUCAUGUAGCAACCCGGCCGCAGAGUGAAAAAUGGAAGUGGGCGUCCAUUUUCUUUGGCCACCGGAGCAUGCACAAAUAAAUCCCAGAUCUGCCAUCUUUCUUCCUUCUUCCCUGUCUGUUGUACACUCUCUUGUUUUCAGUCUGCUGCUGCUGUAAAUCGGCCCGGUCCUGGGAACGUGCAGGCUGUUUUCAGGGGAUGAAUGGAGGAGCUUGGAUUUCACUGAUCUGGGCAAGAAAUGCAAUUGAAAAGAAGUGUGCACUGGCUUUCAUUAUGAAUUGAAAUAGAUCAUUUCUCUAUUUUCUGCCUCUUGGGUUUUCAGGCAGUGAAUGAGCAAAAGAUAUGUCUUGCUUAGCCGGACCUAAACCUCGAUUUAGAGAGGCAGUAACUGCAGGCUGGAGACCCGCUCAUGUAUCACUGCCAAACGCGGGGGGAAACAUACCUUUAGUGGUUAGUUUCUGGAGAGGGGCCAGCGCUGUUGGCCACGUUGGCGACUCUAUCAAUUCAAUUCCAGGCCUGGAGCGUUUUCAGGCCUGUGGUUCAUUUUAACUUUUAUCAAUCCAUACCUCAACACUUGGGCAUGCUUAAUAUCGCAGAUUUAACAAGCAGAGCCGGUCCCUCGCUCAUAAAACUUUAAUUAAUACGGUAACAGUUCGCAUCAGAUGCCAAAACAUUAGCUCCAGAGCUUUUUACAGAGCAUAACUCACCGAAAGACUAGAGGAGGUUUAAAUUUGGAUGCAAAUCAACAGAGCAUAUUUGCUUUUACUUAAAGUCUUAAUUUCCAUCACCAUCUGCCCUCAGGCUCUGAAGACAUUCUUUGAGCUCGCUAACAGGGUCGUUUAUUCAAUCAGCCAACUGGUGUCGAGGAAGGAGCCGAAGAGGGACCGAGGCUCACCUGGGGAAAAGACAGAGUUCGAAGUAAAACAUGCAAAGAGACAAAAAAAGUUGUAUUUUUUCACAUUAUUGUUGUUUCAGUUUCUGUCAAAGUUUCACUCUUUAGUUCAGAGUUUUAGGGUCUCAUCUGUACCACCAAAAGUCAAACUGUGGAGGCGUUCAGUGCAACAGAUGACUCAUGUUUUCUUCACGCCGGAUGCAAAUAAAACUGUUCCCUUGCUGAAUUUGCAUGCCUGAAUAUUCUGUUUGCAUGCCUAAUCUGUGUGAAGACAUGAGUCUUUUUUCAUCAAACACUGUUGACCUUCAAAGAUCUGUUAUGUUUGAAAAGUUCACCAGAUAAUUCAAGCUCCUUUUUAUUCCUAUUUCUGAUAGCUGAUUGGCUCAGUGUUGUGUCGUGCAAAAGAACUGAACUGCUGAGUGAACGACGUGAAUCACUCUGAGACCUGAUUCGUUCCUUUUUCAGAUCAGUUGAGAGGGAGUGGAACUGCCGCCUUUGACUCUUUGGCGAACGACACACAGCCAGCCAGUCAGCGGGCAGGCGGAGUCUCGUGAUUCACUCACAGCGAAUGAACGACAUGUAUCAGUCAGUGAACAAAACAGUCUGUGAACGGAAUGAUUCAGUCAGUCAGUGAACGACAUGGUGAAGGAAACGAAACGAACGACUUCUGAACGACUCUUUGCAAACAGAGAAAGGAGGUGGUGUAGUGUCAUUCACUAACUGCUGAACAUUGGUUUAUUCACUAAGGCUGAGAUAAAACAGGUCAUUAUAGUGUCUUCACAUUAAUACACAUAUAUAAACUUUCCUCUAAGAAGGAUUUUAUGUCAGCUGAUUAAAAAAAAUACGCCAUUGAUAUCUUUAAAGGUAGCAGAAUCCCCGCUACAGCUGCGACGUCAAUGAACAGAUUCUAAAGAUUCAGUCAAAAGAACUGAUCUUCCCAUCACUAGAUUGGCUACUGCGGCACAAGUGAUUUACUGGAAUUCAGAUUUUCAGUUCCUGUGAGUAAAGGAAUAAAGUGAGCGGCAUGUUGAAUUAGCAUUGACUGCUGCUAAAACUCGCCUUUUUGCAAAACUUGUGUCUCACUGUUCAAGUCAUUUGCGACUCCUGAUAAGAACUUGCAUCUGUACGUUGAUUUUACAUGAAAUAACUUUAUUUGCAUGCAGCGUGAUCACAACAUUAGACAGAUAUUCACUAUGACUGUUGGGCCACAUUUUGAAGCUGCUGCAGCAAACAGAAAGAAAAUAAAAAUGUGGUCAUGACGACGUAGAGCAGAGUCAAUACUUUAAUGUUUUUUUUUUGUUAUCUAACCUUUAAAUAUUCAAACAACAGUAAAUCUUAUUGAAUAACAGGAACUAAAAGUGCUUAAGCUGGGUGUGAAUCACUGCAUCGGACCGUCAGGUGGUCCGACUUGUUUUUCCCGUUUUGAGUUUUCGCUGGAAGAAGCUUUUUUAGACUUUUCCAUCGACAUUUGUUCAUCUGCUGCUGAAGGGUCUCAGGUGGAAAACGUUAAACUUCUCCAUUGUUGAGACGGACAGGUAUUUAAAAUGCAGCGUUAGGCCGUGAUGUGCCAGACCUGUCACGUCAGCCAGCCUGCUUUAGCUGGGAUCUGCCCGCUGAGCUGCGGCGGUGCCCUUGAGAGGUGCUUUUAAAAAUAGCGGUCGUCAAGUAUGCAGCUGUAUAAUUGGAAUAUUAGAUAAACUCAAAGAAAUGUGAGUUAUGACAACCGCCUUGAGGAGGAGGAGGCAAUAAAGCCCCUUAUAGUGUAGAGUGGAGUAUAAAAGGAGAUGGUGGAGGGGGAGGAGGUGGAGUGAUAUAUCUGCUGUCCUUCUCCGCUCUGAUUUUCCACAGUGAUUGGAGGCCCUCCACAAAUGAUGAGGGAGGCAGCUGUGAGAGCGCAGAGGCUCGGCAGGUUCACGGCAAAGUCAACACCGUCCAAUCCCUCUAAACCCUCACACGGCUCACCGCAGAGCAGCACGCCAAAAUAAAGCCCUGCCUGUGAGUGAGUGAGUGAGUGAGUGUGUGUGUGUGUGUGUGUAUUAAUACAUAUCAGUAGAGUAGCAUUUCUCUGUGCCUCUGAGCACACACACACACACUCUCGAUCUGUGGCUGUGUGGGCGGAUGUGUCUCUUUUUUUUUUAAUCUGUGAUGUACAACCUGUGGCUUGAUAUCUGCACCUGUGGCAUACUCGCCUCUACAGGAUGUUGGAGAAUUUUAAUCCCUCCAAAUCCCCGACUCUGAGUGCAUGUAUUUCCUGUGUGACUGUGUGAAUUUUCAGACGGCGUGGAAGCUCAAGUGCCUGAUCGACCGCAGCACGGGUUUUUAUUCAAGAUAUGACUUUAUCGCUGCCAAUUGGGGUCAGCACAAAGCCGCGUUUAGAAGAUGAGGUGAUACGUUUUUUAUUUUUUUGUUACUGAAGCAGUUUGACGAUGAAACUUUCACACAAAGAUGAGACGCUGACUGAUGCUAAAGUGUCUAUAAAAGUUUAAAAAAAACUGUCUUUAAAGCGAAAUAAAUCCUGAUAAUUGAGGUGAAGCUGAUUGAAUUGACUUCUGGGCUGUUAGCAAAGAGGCUAAAACGCCACCUCAAGCCUCAUUAAACCUCUUUCUGACAUGGUGACCACCAUCGCGAGAUGGUGAUGCUGUUCGCCAUAGAAAUGUUUGCACCUAAUUGUGUGUACACAAAUGCAUGAUGGCUGCCAUGCAACUUUUGCACACCUUUAAAAAUGAAUUUAAGGUGCAGACUGCAUGUUUACUGUAUGUAGGUGUAGCAACUGCUUUCUUUCAACAAAAAGGUCACUGGGGUUCGCUUGCAUUUGUGACGCGUUCAAUUAUCAGUCCAGUUUGAGUGUAAAAAAAUAAUUUAUUGUUCAAAGAAGGAAAGAAAACUUGUUGAUCCAGCUCCUAAAUUUUUGCCUUCGAAUUAAAAGGGUAAAGAUGAUAUGAGGUUAAAACAAGAAAAAGGUUAAAACGAUGAAAAACAGUCAACAGAAAAUUAUCAGAGCAGAGUCUGACGACACCGGUGAGUUUUAAAUAAUCUGCCAAACAUCCCAAAACCACACCCCUUAGCGACGAUACCCGGAAGUGACGUACCGAGUAGAAAUCAAACUCAACGAAUAUAUUUUGGCUCCUACAGCAGGGAUGCUCAGACGUUUUCUACACAUUAGGUGCAGAUGGAGACGUGGAGCACCCACAUAAACAAUUUAAAGAGACAAUACAUUGAAAAUCAAUCAUUGCGCUUAUCAAAGAUAUUUAUAAUUAAACUGAUGAGACAGCCAGACAAAUAGCGUAAAUAUAAACCAGAUAUAAACCAGAUAUUUGAGAAAAUGAGGGUCAACCAGGUGAUUAAUUUCUUUCUAAACCAGAAUUCGAAGUUAGAUAAUAGCUCCCCAAUUUCCAUCACAUCCGAAAUGGCUAAGCUACAGAGCGGCGGCAAUUUUCGACGUCUGCCAAUUCCUAUCGGAUCUGUAUGUGAGCGGGAAUUGUGAGAACUCACAAGAACCCGUGGAGUCACAUGCAAUCACGCAAUAACGAGUCGUCUCCAUAAAGACAGACACAUAGACAUAUAAGCAGUAGAUUGUGUCCUUCCAGAGGAGGAAAUCUACUUCUAGACUUCUAGAAUCAGCAUCUCCUCAUCCAUGGUGUCAUCGGGGUGAAAUGACGUCUAAAAACCUUUCACUUGUUCAUCCCCGCCCACAUUUGCAAGGUGCCUCAAACACGUAUUUGUUUAAUUUUGUGUCUGUGCCCGACUUCCUUUCCAGCACGGGUUAAUCUGUGCUGAAUUUAUGCGGCAUGAUGCAGCAUCCAAAAGAAACAAAGAACUCUGCAGCGGAACAGAAAGAAACCGGUUACGAUCAGCUGCGAUCAGCGGAUACGGCCUUUUCAUAGCCGUUCUGGAUGCGGUGGAAAUUGUGGGUCACAUGUCUGAAUUUGGAGCAGACUGAUCAGAACAUAUGAGUGUUUUAUGGACCGGUCAUAAACACACUCUGAGUUAUUCUCUCCGUACGCUCUCCUAAAAGAUGACUCAGGUUUCAUCUGAUUACAUCACUUGACAGAGAGAUGCAGAAAAACGACAGAAAUCUAUCAAUCAGUCAGGCGGGCGGUCCUGUAAGAAUUUCACAUAAUUUCAAUCUGAUGCUAAAAAUAAAGGUUGUAACAAUAGUUAAAUAAAAGGCAGACACAUUGUGAUACCAGAGGCAGGGUCUGUUCCAGACUUUUAAUCUUCGAGUCCUUCAGAUUUCUCUUCUUCUUCUUCUUUUUUUGUCUCUGGCUUUGAAUCGGAGUAACAGCUGCAAAUGGAGACAUAGACUGUGCUGCCAUCCAGGUCAGCGUGGAGGGCUUUUUGGAUGUGCCCCCAGUGAACAAACAAGACACAGAGUCUGAUUGGAGACAAGCUGCCUCUCUCUAAUCAGCUUCCCAUUCUCUGCACGGCUUCUGUUUCCAAGGCAGUGGCUCGCUAUUCGCUGAGAUCCACUCCGCCGCUGAAAAAGACAAGAUAAUGCUUUCUUUGUUAACCAGAAACCAUUUCAGCUUCAUUGUUAACAAGAAACAAUUUCAAGUUUGAGUUUUUCCUGAAUUAUCCGAGUACUCUUUCUCAAAGCGUCUCUGCUUCCAUUUCAGCCAAACUGAAGUGAUUUUUCUUUUGUUACAAUUAUGAAUAAGACAAAUGAUAUUUGAGACAGUUUGUAUCACGGGAAGUUACGAGGCGGAUUUAGACUGAAGCCAAAAGGACUGAAAGACCUGAGGAACCCAAAAUAGACAAUAAAGCGAGGUUACUUUAGGGCACUACUGGCUGUAAUAGUAAAUAUAGAAUUAUAUGAUCUACAGUGGACUGUCAACAAGCAUAGAGAUGUAACAGUGGGGUUUACGGGUUAAAUAAAGAUGUUAAAGAAAUCAGAGAAAAAGUGGAAAAAUCCAAGAAAUCAAUCUCACCACGACCGGUCCCACGCCGCUUCAUCACAGCCACGUCCGAACCACAAACAAGAAGUUAAACCACAUCUGCACAAACUUCUAUUGUCUUUUGGACCGUGAAUGAAUUUUGUGGACAGAGUUUAAGUCGGUCAUGAGUGAGAGGGAGAAAGAAAUACUCUGGGAACGUUUCGUAACACGAAGCAAACAAAGGAGAAAUGUUUGAUAUGGAGGAGCUGCAGCGGCGUGAUCAAGGACGCCAUCCUAGCUUAUCAUCUUUUCAUAUUAGCUAUCUAGGAUUGUAAACCAGCUGUGGACGUACCUGGUUGUGGUAAACAAGUCUUUAAGUUGAGGACUUUUAAAACUCAGUCUUCUGUUGGUUUGAGUGAACAGCAAAAAUCUAACUUUUGUUCUCGACUUGUGCACUCAUUGAAAUUUUACAGGGAACUCCAGCUUUUCUCCAUCACUGUUUAUCAGUGCAAAGGCAAAUAAAUAUCACAGUAUGUAGUUUUUAAUUAUGCACAUUGCUAAUUCUACAUGCACACUGGUCUGGCAUGCAGACGUGAGCAUUUGUUGGUGUAAAAGCUGACUACAUGAGGACUUGGACUCAUGAUCUGCAAACAUUCCCGUCCUGUACAUCUGCGUCUCUAACUUUGUAUCUUCCAGAAGACGACUUUUGCAGAUUUUCUCUUGCUGUGGAUCUAACUGGCUCCUGUAAUUUACUGUAUUUACUUCUAUUUCUAUUAUUGUAAGAAAACUUAGACUUCAAGGUGGUCAUCAGGAGAGUAAUCCAGGGAGACUUCAAUGUUUUUGUUUUGUUUUGUUUAUGAUUUCUAACUCUUGAGACCUCCACAUCAGCCUCAGAUGUUUACAAGGACCUCCAUAAAUUAUAUCCCACAAGCGUUCUGGAUAGGAGACUUAUUUUGGUGCAGAGACACCUGAGCUAACUUUGUAACCUUGUUUUUUUUUUUUUUUACAAUCCAUGAGAUUGAGGGUGGUGAUCCCUGCGGAUGCGUGAACAUCCAAUUAGAGAUUUGUGAUCCGUUUGUGUUGUGGAAUAAAAUAUUUUAUUUGAGUAAAAUAAACAGAAACUUAGAGAAGUGUAUUUUUACAUAUUUGACUGUGUGAACAACAUCCUGCAGGGAGCUGAGGCUGGAUUUCGCUCCGUGCGACCGCAGCAGAGUACAAUAACAAUACUUGUGUACCUACGUGUAGGAGAGGAAGAAAAAAAAACCUGCACGGGCACUCGUCUCUUCACCCUCAAUCGUUCACGCUUCACUGCCAAGUCAGAGGUCUAAUUAUGCAUUUGAGCGUGAGAGUUUAAUUUGCACUUUUCAUUUGGAGUGAUUGGCACUCAUAUAAGUUAUUCUGAAUGCUGUUUAACUACAGGAGGGGCGGGCGGUGGGCUGCGGGCUCCGCCGAUGUGCCACUCCAAUCACUCUAGUUAUUCAUGUUCAUACUACACGUACAUUCCUGUCUCUGCGAACCUGAGUGGGCUGAUGUAAAAGGCCUCAUGUUCGAUUCAGAGAGUGCACGCAUGUGUGUGUUCACGCAUGUGUGUGUUCACGUGUGUGUGUGGGAAGCAGGGGGUCUCUCUACAAAUUGUCCUUUUACCUCCAUGCUGGUUUGAAUCCAACAUCACGAUACCGUGUAAUGCAUCUGCUCAGACGUGUGCAGUAGAAAACAUUUUAUCUGACGCUGGGAGUCAGAGAUAGAAUUCCCAGCAUUCCUGUUGUGAGGGCAAGGCCUCUCCCCGGGGUGCCAGCCGGGGCAGCAUGUGAGAGGCAAAGAAACAUGAAAACGAAACGCAAAAAGUCUGAUUAAAAUGCAUGACUGCACAGAAUCAGUCAAGAUAUCAGCAGGCUUAGCUGGGCAAACACUCCGACUGCAGAUUCACGUACGAGCUGCAUACAGCAGGUGAAACGUUCAGGACCCGGGUCCACCCCGGGAGAAAACAGACAAGAUAUUACCUCAAAAUUGAAUAGGCUGUUUAACUUGCAAAGAUACUCUCACAUACAUGUUUGUGACUUUGCUUCAGUCUCCCCCGCAGGUUAAAGUCAAAACUUUUCCUCCACUAGCAGUCCCUGGUGCAGUUUGUUUCUGCUUUUAGAGGGCGUGUUAAAGAGAGAUGUAGGCUGACCAUACGUCCUCUUUUACCCGGACAUGUCCUCUUUUGGGGGGUUGUCCGGCCUGUCCGAGGGGAGUUUUAAAAGUCCACGUCUGCUCCUGAAGGUGGCGAUGUCCUGAGAAACAGACUGUAAUAGCACAACAGUAAGGAUGUCAGCAAAGAUCUGGCGUAAGUUCUGGCGUAACUAAGUUAGGGUCAAACACACCUUAACACCGAGUGAGACACCGGUCUGAGGAGCCAUAAACAAACGUCAACCAAAACGCCACUCUAUAACCACAAAUAAUGCUCAGAACAGCACCUAACUUCAUCAACAGGACAUAUAGGGUCCCAGCCAUAGUACUAUAGUCAGAGUUGUUGUAAACUCAUAAAAAAACAUAAACCUAAGCGGGGGCAUUUCUCCACCUCUGCCAAGAAAGUUCUGCUGUAGUCAAAAUGAAAAGGUAAAGGUGUUUUUAUUGAGCCGAAUUAUCAAUAAAAUCAUGAUUUUGUUAACAGGUAUGGAUAUAUGUGCUGUCGAGUUAGUAUAUGUGAACAAGAGCACAGUAAAGUUAAAUCAGAUCGUUUUCCAAUGAGGUUCUGUUACUAUACGAAACUACACCAUGUUCUACUCAGGUUAGUACAUAUAGAGUCCUAGCCAUAGUACUAGACACCAAACAUCUUUUUAACUUUGACUCAUUUCUUUAGCAAAAAGACUAAACACAACUCACCUACUCUCUUCCAGCAGACGCUUGUUUGUAGCGAGACCUCAGGCAAGUCCAUUACGGACUACGGCGGGGUGACGCAGCUCAAGGAAGAACAUUUAUGAUCAUUUCUUCAUGGUAGAACUACCGCGUUAUUACUUUGAGGAAAUGAUAAAUAAAUUAUCAUAAAUGUUCUUCCUUGAGCUGUGUCACCCCUGCGCCAAGGAGCAAGUCCCCCUCUGCUCCGGUAGAUGGCGACGUCCUGAGAAACAGUCUGUAAUCGCUCAGUAGUUAGGAUGUUAGCAAAGUGCUCCCCCGUAAAAAAGAGGAAAUAUUAUCAACUUCAGUAAUAAGUGGGCCAAACCAAAAUAAAUUACUGACAUCCACACACACACAAUCAUAAAUGCACCUGCUUCUACACUCAUGCACCUGCACUUUCUGCACACUCUGCAUCCUUGCAUCUCUUUUGUCACACCCCCAAAACAAUCCGUCAUUUCCUCUCUCUCUGUCUUUUCACGCCUCUUCUCUCCUCGCCGUCUCUCCUUCCAGGACUGAAAUCUGCAGCUUCAGCAGAUCUCUGUGUGGUCAAACACAUUACAGGAGCUUUCAGCCCACAGCUGGCCACUUAUCGCCCUUUGUGUUUUUAAUUUUCUGCACAUCUCUGCUGCUCCCUCUCUCUCUCUUUCACACAGACACGCAGAAGUCCCUAAUUAACUAACAUCUUGUACGGGGAGGAGGUAAGCAGAUGUUGGGGAAACAAUUAAGAGCAUUGAAAUAUGCUGCACAAAGAGUUUUGCAGAGCGCCGUCGACCCUUCCUAAUCCCAGCCGCCUGUCUGUUCUGAUGAUAGUUAACCAUGUCUCAUCUUUUUAUAGAGCUCUGCCUCCUCUCUGCAUCCCUGUGGGGCAUGGGGCUGCUCAUUCUUCGAGCUAAUAAUGGAGCCAUCUGAAAGUAAUAAUUGCCACGUGAUGCGAAGAAGUCAGUGAUGUGUCAAUCAAGCUCUGCACAGCGGGAGUCAGGAGCAAAUGUGACAGAGUGAAGAUGUGAAGCUGAAGUGAGGAAGAUGAGAAAGAGAGAAAAGAGAGAGAGAGCGGGAGGGCGUGUCUGCCUUUUUGUCCUUGUGUGUUUUUUUUGUGUGUAGGGCUGAUUUUUGCUGAUUUUGCAGCCUCCGUUUUUAGCUCUGUCCUACUUCACAUGCAGGAAGUUGCAUCCUCGUCCGUGCAGCGCACCUGGUCCUGCUGAUGCUGCCGGCCUCUGAGCAGCUGUGCGAGGACCUGUCUUUGUUUGGACAUCACAGACAGGGAGUUUCAGCAGCAGAGUCUAAAAUAACCUGGAAGUGUUUUAUUAGGGCACCUGCAGAAACUUCGGUCCGCUGUGUUUAUCUCUGAUUCUGCAGACUUGGGCGUCUGGAUUUUGGUAAGAACUUUGUUUAUAAAGUUAUUUAACCCUAUGAUUGGAUGUAAGCAUUUGUAUACUAGAAAAAUCAAGUCUGCUUGAUUUUGUGUCACAAAAAACAAUUUCCUAAUGUCCUUGAAUGCGUAAGAAUGACUUGACUCAACAAAUGAGCAUUUUAGAGGUUGUUUUCUUCUCUUCUUGAGGACUAACCAGACAAAGUUUGUGUUUUCAUACCUUUUAAUCACAAUGAUUUAUUUCUGGAAAGCUUCAGAUCCACUAAACAGGAAUAAACCUCCUGAAAAUCUGCGUCUUUUUUGGGCAAAUACCACCAGAGGAAGCCGAGUGAAGCCUCAGUGUAGUUUACUAUUUACAGUGAAUCUGAGACCUGGGUGACCUGGCACCGCUCUGGAAGAACUUUGAAGUUUUAAGGUGGACCAUUUAAUAUUUCUGUUCAUGUCCAAAACUACAUUUCAUUGCAAGCUUUCUUGUCAGCUGUACCGUAAAACUCUGCAGUGAUUCAUAAUCCAUCAUUUAUAUCCUCGACUCUACAGCUUGUUUUGAAAGUCUGGCUCCGGGACUCUUGAUCAUAUCUCAAACUCUGCAGCUUUGGUUCCGAAGUCUAAGCAGACAUUGCAUAUAUAUUAUUACUGUCUUGCCUCUGGAGCCCUGCACCUGUAAAACUGAAGCUGGACUGAUUUGCAGAUGUAAAGAAAAAGUCGACAACCUCCUGAAAAUGUUGAAUUCUCCAUUUUCAGAAAAGUAUUUCUGCAACUUGUUCGUGUUUUCUAGACUCAGCACUACUUUUUUGAAACACUUAAACACUUUAAUUUGUUCAUUUAACAUGCAUGUAUCGUAAUGUUGGUGCUUUGACAUUUAAUCAUGCACAAAUCAGCGUUUGCAGCAAAAAAAUCUAAAUUUGAAACUUUUUACACGAGGAAGAUUAAGACAAGAGAAGAAAAUCACCAAUAAAAUACAAAACAGUUAUAAAGGUGAGUCUUAAAAGUCUCUAUAUUCAGUCUGCUAAACAUAAAUAUAUUCUAACUGAUUGAGAUGAUUGUCUGAAGUCUCUAUAACUUGGAUUUUGUGACACUGAAAGAAAACAAAGAGCUCUACUGUACGAGUGUUUCCUCUCAGCGCUCUGCUCUUCAGGCUUCAGUAUUUGCAUAUUUUCUGUAUUUGCCCUCUGGGCUUCUCCUCCUGUGGAGCGCUCACUGCUUUCUUCAGACACUCAAAGGAGUUUUCCCAGAAUGCAUCAGAUUUGUUUAUGUCCCAAUUUGAUGUCUUAGCGGUGAUAUGUUGUAUGUUUGUGUCGCCGCAUAAAUUUAAACCUCGUCUAACCUCCUCAGAGCUCGUGUUCGCUGUCAGGUUGGUUACAUCCAGUCCUCCGCAACAAACCAUCCUCAGUCUGAUUUCCACGGCUGUGCAGAGCUCUGCGGCCCCCUCCGUUUGAAUGACAACUCAUUAGCUUGUUAAAUUGACAUGGAGAAUCGGCUAAUCUCCUCCUCGAACUGUGCAGGAGAAAGCAUGAAAUCCUGCAGAGCUCUUUUGACUUCAUGUAUGAGAGAAAACAGAUUUCUGCGAGUGGAGAGUUGUCCAUCACUUUAAACACCUGACAGAAAGAAAUUCUUCUUAAAAUUUUAUCAUUUUUUUCUUUUACAUUAAAAUCUUCAGAUUAUUAUUGACUGAAGCUCCAUCCAUAUGUGUACAGAUGCCGCUCUGGAGGUGUUUUAAAUAUGAGUCUGUUCACAAAGCAGUGCUAAAAUGGUUUCAAACCCUCACAUAAGCGUGUCAGACCAGUGCACAGCGCUUAUAUGUUACCAUAUAUAUGUUAGGAGAAUGCUGCACACGUGUGCUGAGAGCUAGCGGCAAUUUAACAUUUUUCUCGACCCUGAUAGAUUUCUUUUGGCCUCUGUGCUGCAGAAUAAUGAGAACGUGAAGCUUUAGAGUUACUUCUAAACAUGCAAACUAGUACUGAGGAAAUGUAAACAAAUGAUUAGCCAGUCACAUAGUGUAUGUGCAAAACAGAUAUGCAACUUUCAAGUAAAAGUAAAGAAGAUGAUGUCAAUGUUUGCUAAAAGCUCAGUAUUCCCCGUCCUCACAAACACAAACACACACAAAAAAAAAUGCUUUUUAUGCAGAUGACUGUCUAACAUGAGUCUGGUCCUUCUUCAGGUCUCUGCCUGUUUCUGUCUGUAACUCUAAAUUCUGCAAAGUGGUUCACUUCUGCGGAUGUAGAUGGAUCAAAGUGGUCUCACAAGGCAGGACUCAGGCCCAAUUUCCACCGCAUCUGGAACAGUGCCAAUCGGGAACAGCUGCGAUUUUCGCCGUCCACCAAUUCCUACCAGAUCUGUUGGGGAAGCAAAUUUCAUGGUGAAUUCAUAUCAAUAACGAUCGAUUGUGCAUCGAAGACCAUCUUGUUUCUGACUUUCUCCGGCUUCACCAGGUGCAUCCUUCGAAGCCCCAAAUGACCCAUGAUUCUUUGCACACCAAUACAAUUGACUUUGGGGUCUCUGAAGGUGCAGACAAGUCCAAAACAUUACAUAAACGCCAUUGUCAAGGUAGUACCGUAAGUGUGCAGUUCUCCAAAAUGCAGACCGGCUUAAUUCAGUUCAGCCUGACCUGGUCUUCUCAGACCACAACGGCCAAAUCCUGCUGCAGCCCCUGGAUUGGGAUUAAAUUUAUAUUUGCAGGUAUUGGACUAAAGAUAAACCAGAUUAUUUUAAAUUUAUACCUCUAAGUUUACGCCUCAAACCUCUUCACUCCCAUGAUCCUCCAGGUGAAAUGUUACUUCAUGUGAAAAUUCCAUCUUCCUUUAUUCCUAAAACUAUAAAAGUGUCUCUGCGCUCCUGUGUGCAGAUCUAUAUUUGUAUUUAUUCCCCUCUUCAGCUGCCUAUGAUCAUCCACGCUCUGCUCUGUAUGUUGAUUGCCUCGUGAAUUAUUAAAUAAAGCAGAUUGCCCCAUCACCGCAGAAGAAUGCGAGCGCCUGUGGUUGGCUAUAAAAAAAUCCGACAGAGAGAGAUUAGGAAAACUAAAACCAUGUGAAGUGGUGGAGAUGUCUCAGGAAGACGGAGCGCAGAUAACAACCCCGCUCUUUGAUUCAUUUCAGGGGUGAAAGAUGGAUGAGCGUCUGAAUAAUUUCUAAUCUUCUUUAAGGCCGAGCGGCAGAGGACAGGAGGGAGACGGAUGUUUAUUUACGAUGGCCGCGGCGCCCGUGGAGACCUGGAGAUCCAGCGACACGCUGAGAUGCAGCGGAGAGAUAUGACUCGGAUAAAAGCGUCGGAGAUGUCAGAGGUGAAACUGAAUAUCAUUGCUCAUGCUGCUGCAGCUGCGUCCGCUCGGCAUGAAUCCACAGAAAAGCUCUUUUUUACGGAUUUAUCUGGACGCUGAGAAGAAAACUCUUUGUUUUCUUCUUUCAGUUUAGGUUCUUUUAUUAUUUUUAUCUGACCUCUGACCUCUUAUCCUCCUUGUCUUCAUCUCCUGCAUCUUUCUGAGUCUUUUCAGAUAAAAACCCUCGACUUUAUUCCUCCCUCUUGGCUCUCUCUCUUCAUCCUGGUUACUUUAGCGUCUCUGAAGUCCUUCUCUUAUCAACCCCGCUCUCUCUCCCUCUCUCUCUCUCUCUCUCUCUCCGUCCUCUGCUCCGCUGACCCGCUCACACAAACUUUCAGAGAGGCUGUGAAGCUGAACCACAGUGAGCGCGGCUCCUUCAUGUGGCCCCUCUGGGGGUCCCCUGCAGUGGGGCUGGUGUUUAAUCAAGCCCCUGGCUUUGACUCCCAGCGGGCUCACACCCCUCCUGACCCCCACCAUCUGUGGGGGCUGCAGAGGCUCACUGAGCCCACCAGCUCCAUUAUGAGCUACCUGUCCUUGAGCUCUCGGUGUUUUCUUCAGCAGAGUGUGUUCAGCUGACACUGCAAAUCUACGGCGUAUAACUCACAGCACACACACACACACACACACAGGAGAGAUACACACGCACACACAGAGGAGAGACACACACAUGCAGCCUGAGAGUGUGAAAGACAGAGGAGACAAAGACAAUAGUACAAUCAAGGGCAGGCCUGCAAUUUAGCUCUCAGUCCUCCCAAGAAUCAGAAGAAAUAUCGAAACAAUUCGCUGCCCCAAUUACAUGAAACAACGGAGAGAGAGAGAGAGAGAGAGAGAGAGAGAGAGAGCUUUCCCUUAGAUGUGUGUCUUUACAUCGUGAUGAAUGCCGACAAACUCCAGAAACGAGAGAGUAUUAUCCUAAAAGUAACGAAUCACAAAUCUACUUCUGCUUCUUUAACAUUUUUGUUUGUUUGUUUUAUUAAUGUGUGACCAUAAAAAAUUCAUGUGAUGAACAUAAAUCUAAGAAAUGAUUCAUUUCAAACAGUAACUGAGAAGUCAACUUCUCUGUGGUUUGUUAAGUGUUUUAUCCAAACUACUGUCAGCUGGUCCUCCGGGUUUAGAGAGAGAAGGAACAGCUGUUUGUGGUUUUUAGAGAAACAUCAUUUAUUCAACAAGACAAACAGUCUUUCUCAGUGUUAAUCCUGGCUGAUAUAUCUGAUUUAGUUUUAGUCUUUGGGCUUAAAGGGAUAUUCCGCGGGAAAUUAAUUUAGGGUCAAACACACCGUAACACCAAGUUAGACCCCCCUGAAGAUGGAUGUUACCGACCGUUUGCUUCUCUAGUUAUACCAACUUUAGUAACGACCGCAGGAUCCAGCAGCAGCUUGUUCAUAGCGAGACCUCAGGCCAGUCCAUUAAGGACUACAGCGGGGUGACGCAGCUCAAGGAAGAACAUUUAUGAUCAUUUCUUUAUCAUUUCCUUGAAGUAAUAAUCAACAAAUUAAUUAUUUUCACUGCAGACGCGGUAGUUCUUCUGCCUUAGCGUCUCGGUCUGAUUGUAUUUCCAUGAAGAAAUUAUCAUAAAUGUUCUUCCUUGAGCUGCGACACCCCGCUGUAGUCCGUAAUGGACUGUUUGGUGUCUAGUACUAUGGCUGUGACCCUAUAUGUCCUGUUGAUGAAGUUAGGUGCUGUUCUGGGCAUUAUUUGUGGUUAUAGAGUGGCGUUUUGGUUGAGGGCGUGGCUCUGUGUAUUUCUAUCCUGCGGUCGUUACUAAAGUUGGUAUAACUAGAGAAGCAAGCGGUCG